rnacentral:lncRNA from 1 species
UGUGUGACUCCAUAGGUUCGAACACUAAGUCAGUAGUAUCGAAAUCAUUUUUUAUACUAAUCGAAGUGACCAUCUAGCAAUGGUACUCAACAUCCAAAUAGAUUGAAAAAUUAUAAAGUAACAUUCAAAAACCUAGGCAUAUGUUAUCGCAUAAUUUAUCCCUGUGGCCCUCAAUACUCAGGAUGACUUAGGGUUAAACUAUCAACUCU